UAUGGGAAAUCUCGCUUUUUAAUUACGGAUUGGAAAUUAAGCACGAAAAAAUAGAUCAUCUACUUAUAUGUGAACGUUUAUUACGAGGCAACGAACUCGGUGUAUAGACUUUCAAUAUCCAUAAUAUUUAGAUAAGAUACACAAUCGAUUUGCUUAGCUCUUCAGCAGUAAAAAAAAAUUAGUAGGGUUGACAGGCACCCUUGGUGUGAGUUUGACAGGCAGUCGAGUGUGUGAUGGUGUGAGUGCUUGGACUUUUUGCUUGAGGGUAUUGGUGGGACUACUAUACCAAAUUCGAAUUUUUGCGGAAUAGAAUAUCGACAAAAAAAUAUCUCUGAGUGGUCUCAGCUGUGAACAUAUUUUGGCGAACAGCUGUGAGUGUUAUUACUUACGCAUUUGUACAAUGAUUACAUUUGUAUGUUAAGGCAACGUUUCUUAUUUUCCAUCAUGAUUCAAUCCAAGUCAAAGUUUCUAGAGCUAGCAACUCAGUGUCUUGCUACGGGAGCCGAUUUGUCAAAAGGGAAUGAGAAAGCUGCUUACUGAGCAAACCUUUUAUCAUAGAUAAUCUUUUAUUAUUGAAUUAUGAUUUUCCAUAACAUUACGCUGCCAUUUUCGGCAGUAGGUCAAAGAAAAAAAAUUACUUACCAAAACGUUGCAAUUUUUGCAUAUUAUUGCACCCAAGAAUAUAAUUAAUAUCGUUUUAAAUUACAAUAUAUCAAUGAGAAUGUAAUAAAACAGACGAAGCGACAACAAAAAAGCAUACCACUUCGAAAUUCAAACAACCGAAUCCCAAGGGGGGAAAACAAAUCACCUUUUAUGAAUGCCCCUUGAGCUCAUAUUUGCCCUCAAAGUGAUGUAGUUGGAGAACGGUUAAUAAUGUUAUCUGAAAGGUUCUGUUUCACUUCCAAGUGAAUUUCAAUGCAACUGCCAUUCAUUUCCUAUGAAAUCCAAAGUUUUUGCUUUCCUAUAUCACGACUACUUAUUUCAACUUCUAUGCAAUAUUUUUCCCAUGCUCAUCUCUAGAGGUAUUAGUUUGAACAUUUUCCAAUUUAGCUUUGUUGUUGUU